CCUGAGAAGCCUCACACUCAGGCCUUGGGAUUGUAGGACCACAGAGACCCUGAGAAGCCUCACACUCAGGCAUUGGGAUUGUAGGACCACAGAGACCCUGAGAAGCCUCACCUCAGGCAUGGGAUUGUAGGACCACAGAGACCCUGAGAAGCCUCACACUCAGGCAUCGGGAUUGUAGGGCCACAAAGACGCUGAGAAGCGUCACACUCAGGCAUGGGAUUGAGAAAAUCAGCUCGUCUGACAGGUCAUGAAGGAUGUUCCUGAGUCACACCGGCUGUUCUCCUUCCUUCCUGCCACAGGCGAGGUGAACAGCAGCGCUGCUGACGUGUGCUGGACCCCAGCUCCAGCCACUGUUGCCGUUGGUCAUUCACGCAGCUGACAACACGGUGAAGGUGGCACGUGCGCUGUUCACAUUGUUAUGAAAACAGUUUUGACUUCAUAGACCUCAGAGAGGUUCUUGGGUGCCCCAGGGGUCCACGGACCACACUUUGAGAGCGACUGCUUUAAAGCUAGCCUCAAGCAAUAGGAAUAACAGAACAGGGCAGAUUUCAAGAUUAUCUGUUGCCUCUCAUCUUUCCUGGAGCUUGUUGGUUUUGUCUCAGAAUACCAAAGCAGAGCGUUCACUGUUUAAAGUAACUCAAAUGAUGCCGGUGUAAAAAAGACUGAAAUCAAGCAUUCCCCUCCUUCUUCCUGAGAGGUAGCCACCCUGAGCCAGGGUGUGUGUAUUUUUUAGACCAUUUUCUGUUCAUGUAUCUCUGUGUACCUCUGUUUUGGCGGUUAGUUUGUGUGUGAGCAGCGGUUUCUCCGUCCCUUACACAGUCCGAGUCCUGCUCUCGGUGGUGGUUUGCUGCUGCCCGUUUGCGUCCCCAGUGCGUGGUGUGAGACGUGCGGUGACCCAGGCUUGCUUCUGAGCUCUGCGUGCCCUCUGCCCAUCCGACCCUGCACACGGCCCCUGGAGAUGGGAGGGCUUCUGUUGCUGUGUGUACAGAUGCACACUGUGGAUCUCAGAAGCUGUGGUCGCCUGCCCGGGGACAUGCAGCUGGUGGUGCUGAGGUCAGGGUUUCAGCCCAGCUGUUCCGGGGCCAGAACCCAGCUGUUGCUGUUGUUGUUCAGCUGCUCGUCAUGUCCGCUCUUUGUGACCCCCCUGGUCUGCAGCACACCAGGCUCCUCCAUCCUUCACAGGCUCCCGGAGUUUGCUCAGUCGUGUCCGUUAAUGCUAUCCAGCCAUCUCCUCCUCUGCCACCCUCUUCUCCUCCUGCCCUCAAUCUUUCCCAGCAUCCAGGUCUUUUCUGGUGAGUCAGCUCUUAGCAUCAGGUGGCCAAAAUAUUGGAGCUUCAGUCCUUCCAAUGAAUAUUCAGGGUUGAUUUCCUGUAGGAUUGACUGGUUUGAUCUUCUUGAUGUCCAAGGCACUCUCAAGAGUCUUCUCCAGCACCACAAGUUCAAAAGCAUCAGUUCUUCAGUACUCAGCCUUCUUUAUGGUACAACUCUCAUAUCUAUAUAUGACUACUGGAAAAGCCAUAGCUUUGACUGUACAGAUGUUUGUUGGCAAAGUGAUGUCUCUGCUUUUUAAUACACUGGCUAGGUUUGUCAUAGCUUUCCUUCCAAGGAACAAGCAUCUUCUAAUUUCAUGGAUUUUCAUGCUUAAAAAUGGUUUAAAAAGCUGUGCCUUCUUGCACAGCUCAACUGGACACUUUCUGACGGUUGCACAGUAUUUAGUUGGAUGAAUUACUGAUUUAUUUAACAAGCCCUCAGUGAGUGGGUUCCAGUUUUUGCUGUUUCAGAAGAUGCUAUGUUAAAGAGACUGUCCCUCCAUCUGCCCUGCAGGCAUGUCUGUAGCUGGAAGACUCAGGACACACACAGGCCUUGGACAUUACCUCUCCACGUGGCCCGGGUUGUCCUCCAGAGACGCUGCUCACUUAAACCUUCACUACGCAUGCUGAGAACAUCCAUCUUGUUCAUUGUUGCUAUUUUAGUGUAAAUUUUAAUGUUGUAAUUUGCAUUUCCUUACAGUUACACAAUUGAGAUCUUUUAUCCACUAUAUCCAUUUCUUCCAUGAAUUGUCAAAUUGUAACUCUUGUCCAUUUUUCUGCUGAGUUUUUUAAAAAAUCAGUUUUUAAAAGCUUUGCAUGCAUUACAAAUAUUAAUCUCUGAAUAUUUUUUAUUUGAUUUUUAAUUUUUCAACUAUAUCUAUGUAUAUAUGUAUCGUAAAAGAGGAUUUUUUUGUUGCUGCUGCUGGGAAUUAAGAAAAAGCUGAGAUGCUUGUUUGGGUCAGUUAAUGGUGCAGAAGAGGAACAAUGUGUGGAGCAAGAAGAGUGAUUCAUAGUAGCAGGAGCUCAGAGGUGACCAUGAAAACAGAAGAGCCUGGAAGAUUCAGAAAGCGUGGUGAGGAUUUUACUUAGGCAGGCUGGAAACAGAGUUCAUACCAUUUUAUCUAGAUCUCCAGAGAUAGAAAGCUGCAACUAAAAUUCAGGAGUGUGAAUUCUACAUCCUGAGCUGGACUUAGUACAGUGCUGGCACAUAGGAAGCACCUUAACGCAUUGUGACUUCUUAGUGAGUCAUGAUCCUGCCCCAGAGGUAUUGCGUUACCUCUCCUGAGAACGAUGUGGGAAAUUCGGGUGAGAAAAACAAAUGAUGAGUCCUCAUUUUUAACCAUAUCUGUAAGCAUGUCAUUCACUUUUAAAAAGGGGUAAGAAAGUUAAUACAGAUCAUCAAAGAAAGAGCAUUAAUGAGCAUAAACAUUUUAAUUAAAGCAGUGAUGAGGUUUUAUUUUUGCUUUACAUUUCUGGAAAGAGUGGGCUUCCCUGGUAGCUCAGCUAGUAAAGAAUCCACCUGCAAAGCAAGAAGGAAGAUCUGCUGGAGAAGGGAUAGCUGCCCACUCCAGUAUUCUUGGGCUUCCCUGGUGGCUCAGCAGGUAAGAGUCCGCCUGCAACGUGGGAGACCUGGGUUCAGUCCCUGUGUUGGGAAGAUCCUCGGGAGACGGGAACGGCUACCCACUCCAGUAUUCUGGCCUGGAGAAUUCCAUGGAAUGUGUAGUCCAUGGGGUCGCAAAGAGUCGGAAACGACUGAGCAACUUUCACUUUCCGGAAAGAGUAUCUUGAGCUCAUUUUUCUGGAGGGCAGUUUCACAGUAUCUGUCAAACUUUAAGCAAGGGUUGGGAGCAUAUGGCUCCAUUAUAGGAAUAUGUCAGCAUUUCAUGAAGACAUAUUUAGAAUUGUGCAUUGCAGCAAUGUAAUAUCUGGGUAAACUUAAAUGUGCAAAAAGUAGUGAAGUGAUUAAACGCAUUGUGGUGCACCCAUAUCGUGGAUUAAAGGGUCUGUGCCUGUCAGAAAGCAGCUUGUGAAAUGUUAGGUGAGUUAGGUGAGAAGCAGUUGACAGGUCAGUGAUCCCAUGUAAAACUGAGAGGGGUUGUAAAUGUCGGGAAGGUGCUGGAUGGCUAAUGUCUGGGGGCUGGGGGGUGAGGGCUCAGGUUUGCAGCAAAGAGAGACUUUGGCUUUUAUUCUACACUUUUGUGUUACUUAAUGUUCCACACUGUGGAGGCAUUGUUUGUGAUGAUAAAAAGACCUGUUAAGAAGAGGGAAAGACUAGCUUUAUAACAAUGGAGAAAGGUUCCUCUUCCUGCUGCUUAUGAACACCUUACUGUUGAGGCUGCCACUUGUCAUCCUAAACAUUGUAAGGUUUUGUUCUGAGGGGUUUUUGGUUUUGUUUCUUGGAGUUUAGUUGAUUUACAGUAUCAUGUUAGUUUCAGAUAUACAGCAAAGUGAUUCCGUUCUGUGUAUUUUUUUCCAGAUUAUUUUCCAUUAUAGGUUAUUACUAGAAGAUACAAGAUGCUGACUAUAGGUGUGCUACACAGUAAAUCCUGUUGCUUAUCUAUUUUGUGUAUAGCAGUUUGUAUUCAUUAACUCUGUUUUUCCGUGUUUUAGUUCCGCCCGAGGUAUCUAUAACGACAAAAUAGAUACCCCUCAAAACGUUAUCUAUUACUAAAGCUCUAGUAUUUGUAACUAGAUGUAAAACAAAGCAAAAUGAUAAACCUGCUCAUGGUGAUUGUUGAAGGGGGCCUUCAGGACCUGUGUGCAUCCGUGCGUUUGUAAACGGACCUGACUCUAUUAACCAUGGGGGCUGCUUCUGGCUUCGUUUCAGCCGUUUGCACUGACCUGUGAAUCUGCAAGUUUAAAGAAAUGUCAUAAUUUCAUUGUUUUUCUGAUACACCUUUACAUAUAGGAGAAAUAUUUUAAAUCUUGAGACCAUCAUUUGCCACCUCACAUUUUGAUAAACUAUAGUUUGCUUUUAACUGGCAUCUGUAAUCAGAUUAAAUUCAUGUUGGAAAUUUAAAUUUUAUUGGUUGUAUUAUUUUGUUAGUAUUUAGUUUGUUUAUUUUGAUUUUAGAGCUCUUCUAAAAGCUACAGAGGGUACUUCUAAGUCUAGGCUCAUACAUAUUUACAUAGCUUAAUGAAAAUAAUUUUUCUCACCGCUGGCAGUCACGGAGUUUCUCUUAAAAGAUUCAUGCCAUUUUAAUUAAGUGUGAGAAUCACUGGCAGAGCUGGAUACCACUAAUUAUAUAAUAUUGUGCACCCCCUGGGUAUAAGUGACGUAAAUUUUUAGUCCCUUUUAGUCCUUUUAGUCCAAUAAGAAUAUUUUGGUUUCAUUUAAGCAAAUUUGGUUAUUUCAGGUAAUUUAAUUUAAAAGGUGACACUUCUAACAAGAAGCUUUAUUCUUUCCCAAGGCUUACUGAAGAUUAAAAAAAAAAAAAAAAACCCAGGUGGCAGAAUUCAGUACAUUUUUGUUGUUCUUCAGUCAGUAAGUCGUGUCUGAUUCUUUGUGAACCCAGGAAUUGCAGCGCUCCGGGCCUCGCUGUCCCUCAGGAUCUCCUGAAGUUUGCCCAGAUUCAUGCCUAUUGAGUCAGUGAUUGUAUCCAACCAUCUCAUCUAAGUAAGAACUUAUUUUUAGGAAGGAUAUCGUAUAUUAACAAAUAAUGUUUGUGCAGAUCUUUUAAGAGUUGGGCUUCACUUGUGGCUCAGCUAGUAAAGAAUCUGCCUCCAGUGUGGGAGACGUGGGUUUGAUCCCUGGGUUGGGAAAAUCCCCUGGAGAAAGGAAAGGCUACCCACUCCAGUAUUCUGGCCUGGAGAAGUCCACGGAUUGCACAGUCCAUGGGGUCGCAAAGAGUUGGACACGGCUGAGCGACUUUCACUUUCACUCAAGAGUUACGUUGUUUUGUGGCCACUUUUCUGGGACAUUCUUCAAGUAGUUUCAACUUUGGGAUCUAUUUUCCAUUAGUAGGUAAGUUGUGUAUAACAGCUGUUUACACUGUUUGUCUUUGAACGCUCUAUCCUCCGUAACGUGGAGGUAGGAUACCUGCUUUGAGCCGGCCCCAGCUGCAGGCUCAGGUCUGUAGUGCUCCGACCCUUCCACGGAGCAGCCAGAAAGGAGAUUCUCUGCAGCAGCUGACCGAGGUGAAGAGCCUACUUGUGGUCAGAGAACACGCUCACCCCAGCCCCUCAGGAGACCAGACCCAAGGCUUUGAUCGGUCGGUGCUCAGCAAAGCUGAACCCCAGAGAAGGUGGUUUCCCCUGAAGCCCAGCCUGGGUGUCCUUCCUGACCAGAAAUCCGUGUCCUAAGCCCAGAUCCGUCUCCUCCGCCUGAAGUGCUCGCCUCUGCACACCCAAGGCCUUUCCGGCCUGGGCUUUGCUCUUUGUUCCUGUGGCUUUACCGUCCCGAGCGGAUGUCCAGAUCUCUCUGCUGACCGUGUCGGAAGUCUCAGCAUCCCACUGGGUGAUGAUGUCAUCCUUACCAAUGGCGGUGACGCCCCAGACCUGAGAUUUGCCCGGCACUCUCUGCACAGAAGCUAACCAGUCACCACAUAGGGGGAAGCAUUUCUGUCUCUGUCGUGUAAGAACCAGGUUUGUUUUUAAAGGUGAUGCCAGGCAUGGGUUAUACGAUGGGCAGCAGUCUUCUAGAGCCAGUUCUUCUCUGUUUUUGUUUUUUCUCAAAGUUAAUUUCCUAAAUUUCUACUCAUAUAUCAAGACAGCCCAGUCUAGAGAAAUGCUGACGUGCCAGGGACCAAUGAACCCAUACGGACUCUGGGCUCCAGAGCCAGGAAGUGGCUGCUGGAUACUUACAGGUUUCUCGGGAAAAUUUUCUUUAUCCAAGGAGAAAUUUCAGAUGUGCUCAUCUUUCUUUUGAUCCUUUUUGAUGAUUUUUUACAUUUACCGUAGCCUGGUGGAUUGCAUCUGUUUCUUGACAGCUGACAUCAUCUCAACUGCUGAGUUUAAUUUCUCUGGAGACCUCUUGCCACAGGGGACUCAGGCGGCGGAGUUAUUUUCCAGCAGGAACAGGUCGGUAGUUGCAGUCCACCGGCCGGUGAGGUUGUUCGGCCCUUCUCGUCUCACACUAGCUUCUGUGUUAACGUUCACCGUGUAGGGGCUUCUGUCAGAGGCUAUCUUGGGGUCAAGGAGAAGCCCCAGCCAAGCCCAGAGCCCCCAUCCACAGGGCGGGAGGAGGAUCCUUGCCCCCGCCCCCAGGUUGGCUCGGGUGGUGGUGAGGUGCUGGGUCUGUCUGCUCUCUUCCCAUAGCGAAGGGAAGCCCUUCCCCCGCGGUGGAGGUGCGGCCCGCUGGCUGCUGCCUGCCCUGCGCGCCCCGAGCCUCAGCGCACGGGCCCUGGAGGAGCCGUGGGUGAGUCUCGCCCGUGGGCGCGUCUGUUAGGCCCCUCCCUUCGGGGGAGCGGGGGAGAAGGCCCUCUGACUCACUACACAGAGGAGAGUGGGCGCGGGCGCCGGCCCCCCAGCCCCCCUGGCCCCUGGCGAGUGGCCUUGGCGGUGCUCCUGAGGGCGGGGCCCCUCGCGGCGGCCAGGCCUGGGGCUCCCUGACCCGGGGCCUUCCUGUCUGCUGCCCGGCAGGUCGGUGUUCAGUUCCCUUUUCCUCUCCACGUUCUGGUCUCUGCAUCGCGGUGAAGCUCCGGUGUCGGGGCUGGUGGGCCCUCGCUCCUCUCCUGCAGCAGGAGAUGCACUUGUGACCCCAGAGGGGUGCGCAGUAGCAUCCGUGGGGCACGCCCUGGGUCAUUAACAUAUAGCAGCUCUUUAUUAACAUGUGCCUGUUGCAGCCCUCAGUUUAAUUAUGUCUGUGUACAUUAAGAAUUUUUUAUUGUAUUUUUUCUGAUUUGGGGUGGUAACAAUUCUUUUGCAAAUAUAUAUAUCUUUCAUAUUUCUGAAUCUUCGAAGACCAUUUGAUAAAUUCAUAAUUUUGCAUUCUUAUUUUGGAGGUAGAUUAUCACACAGCUACGUAAAAAGAACUGUAUACGCUUUUCAACAGAAGUGGAAGUGGGUGGUGGUAUUUGAAUAUUACUUUUAGCAGAAGGAUUAUUCAACCGAUUACUAAGCCAUAGCUAUCUUAAAUUUAAGAGUUCACUUUUAACUCCUUGAAGUUUGCCAUUUUAUUAAAAUGGACAUUAUUAAUGUCCUUAUAGAAAAUGAAGUUUUUCUUGUUUUGGGGGGGUCAUAUUUAAACCUAAGAAUACACUAGCUUCAAAUGUGAAUUAGAUUACAGUAAAAUGCAUCCGGCUAUAAAAUGUGUUAAUAAGUAUUGUAGUUUUGAGAAGCUGUCUCAUUAAUUGUUCAGUGAAGAAGUAUUAAGUCAAGGUUGUGACAGAUUUGUACAGUAGCAGGUACCUAAAGUUGUUUAAAUUUGAUAAGCCCAACCAAUGGCACGUUCAUAAAUCCUGGACAAUGUUUUUCCCCAUCUUUUCCCUCAUAUUUGGUUAAUAUAAAAGGAAGGCGUUCCUAUUCCAUCUGCCUGUAAGAUGUCUCAGUGGUGGCUGUAUGUUAAUCUGCGUUGUGGACUUGCGUGUUACAGCGUGGGUGAGGGUGUGGACUGACUCUUCAUCUGUCACCUCAGAGGCUGAUGGCACCGCUCCCGUUACAGUGCCGAGGCUCUCGAUCAGAAGCCACAGAAAACUUCCCGAGGGGUCAGAAUAUGCCUUUCAGAAUCAGUGAAGUGUGGAAGUUGUGGAGCUGGAGCAGCCCUCUGCUUGGUUGGGGGAGACGCAGGACGUUCAGUCAGGAGGGAGCCACCGAAACUAGUCAGCAUCGGAUAGUCCAGCUCUCUUCCACAUUAGCAGCAGAGCCCUCAGCCCGAGGACCCCAGCGUGCCUGUCUGGGCUGAGCAGUUUGUGGAUAUGGCUCCCACCUCUAUGCAGAAUGGGUUUUCUCUGUGGGAGCCCCCAGAGACAUCGAAACUAACGGGACCAGCAUGUCCCAAAACAAAGUGGACUCCGCCGUCCCCCUCUCCUCGUCUCCUGUUCCCCACACCCUCUGCUGCUUGGAGUCCCUUCCGUCCCCCAUUCUGUCCCCACCCUCCCCGCUCAUGGGGCCUCAGGGUGGAGGACAGGGGCCGAGGGUUUGCAGUGACCUCAGGUUCCAGGAAUUAAGGGUGGCGCUCGGGGUGGCUGUUCCAGGAGAGAGUGACCCGGGAAGGUCGGGCAGCACUGUGACAGCCGCUUUUCUUCCUAGAGUCACGUCUGAGGCCCAGGACCCAGCAGUGCCACAGAUUUUCCUUUUAAAUAUUUGUCAUUCAAGAGCUUGAAGUAUCUGUUGGUGUAUUUGGCUUUUUUUGUGAAGCAGGUGAGGGCCAGCAGGUGAGGGCCAUGAAGAGGGAGAGCAGCGUAAGUAACAUGAACUGCUGAGCCCGCGCCCGUGGGGACAGGCUGGGAGCGCCAGGGUCCUGCUGAGGAGCGCUGGGCCGCAGGGGGUGUGGGUGGUCUGGGGAGUUUUCCCUGAUACAUGGUCUUGGUGCAGAAUCAUAAGGAGGUGUCUGUCUAGACAUAAAGGUUGCUUAUUCCGUUUAUUGGACACACAUACUAACAUGUUAAGAAGUGUAAGAUUUUAGAUCCUGGUUACAGAGUAAGAAUUAAAAUGUUGGUCUCCUUGAUUUUUAAUUAUGAAAUACUAUCUCAUGGAGCUUCCCUCAUAGCUCAGUUGGUAAAAAUCCCCCUGCAGUGCAGGAGAACCUGGUUCGAUUCCUGGGUUGGGAAGACCCCCUGGAGAAGGGAAAGUCUACCCACUCCAGUAUUCUGGCCUGGAGAAUUCCAGGGACUGUAUAGUCCAUGGGGUCCCAAAAGUCGGACAGAACUGAGUGACUUUCACUUCACUACUAUUUCAUAGAAAAUGUCAUUUUGGACAUGCAGACGAUUUCGGAGAUUAGUAUAAAUAUACUUAUGAACCCAGCACCCAGGCUUGUCUUCCUUUAUGAAAGAAAAGGAGACGCUGGGCCUGUGGACGACACACGCGUCUCGCCCCACCCCCACCCACCACCAUGUCAUCUUACCCUGUUACUCCCAAACCUUAUGUUAUUAUCUCUGUGCCUCCCAGACUUGGUUAUUAGCUUGUGUGUCUGUUUUCACUGCAGUGUGUAGGAUUGUUCUGUGUGUGUGAAAAUUUGCAUGAGAGGCAUCUCACCACAGGUGUGUUCACACAGCUCGCUUCCCCUUGACGUGCUGCGGGAUGUGCCUGCGUUGGUUCCUAGACCGUAGCGACUCACUCGUGACUCUACCCGUAGCACUCCCUUCCUUGGUGGCGCGGGCGCGUGCUGGCGGCUGUCGAAGGUGAUGGGGAACGUGCGCCAUGGCUCACCCUGGAGGAGUGAGCUCAGGGCUCUCCACGGGGCCAGGCUGCAGCCCCUUCCCCCUCCGGGCCCUAGGUCGCUCUCAGAGUGCCCACCCCCCACCCAGCAGCAGAGGUGCCCGAGCCUUUGUGCACACAGGGUUAGCACCCCAGACCCUGCCCUCGGCCAGAUGCCUGCAGGUGGAAAAGGAGGCUGGGGAUUUGGCCUCAUUAUUUGUUUCUUCCAAGUAAAGUUAAUUCUGAGUGUCACCUGUUUGACAUUUAUUUGACCCAGACUUUUUAAUAACUUUUAAAAAUGCAUGUGGUCAUUUGAUAUUCAAAUGGAGAGUACUGAAUGUUUUUCUACAUUGUGUUCUUUUCAUUAAAACGGCUUUCUGUUUUCUUGCAGAAUAAAAGCCACCCUCAUUCCAGGGGGGAGUAUAACGUUUACAGUACCUUUCAAAGUCAUUAAGAGUUGGACUAUUUGAAAAGUCUAGAAAUUGAAGAAAAAAAUUGAUAAAAUUAGGUGGUUACCUAACAAUGCUGCUUAUUUUCUGCUCUCUACCAAUGGUAAGAGCUGUUUUUUUCCUUAAGUGGCUGUUUGAGUUAGGAUUUUAUUUUUAAUUUCUAUGUGUAGAUUCAUUUUUAUUUUAACCUUCUUUGGAAGUUAUUUCUGCCUUAAAAUUUUGGGGGAUGGUAAAUUAUUAGGUAGCAAGUGACAGGUUGAAAACUCAAAGUAUGCAAAACACACUCCCAGUAGUACGUUUCCUAAUUCUGCAUGCGUCUCUAUGUCUUUACUUAUUUGUAGGAAACAAGAUGUUUGUGUAAAAUUGGAAAUACUAAUGUUUAAUACUCCUACCCUGUAAACCAGGGUAGAACCACAGUUUUCUGCUGUAACACUCAGCUAGUACCGGUGCAUAACAUACAGUUUUUCUUUUAAUAUAGAUAAUGAAAUUUUUCUUUUCAGAUAAAACUGUUAAUGUAUGGGAAAUAAGUGAAGGGGAUAAAAGAGCAGAAGACUAUAAUUUAAAACAUGAAGAUGGACGACUCUGAGAUCCGUUUAGAGUCACGGCACUGCGGGUAUAUAUAUUUUUUUAACUAUCCGGUACUUGUCUUGAAUUAGUCAGUGGCAGCGCUCAAGUCAGCCGUGCAGACAGUGCUGUGCCUGCACAGAAAUGCUGUGAGGCCCGCCUUCCCUGGAGUGUCGGCACAGUCACCUCGUGUGCUGUGGAGUGGGGGUCCUUAUUUUCACAAAGACGAAAAGUCACAUAAUGCUACUGAAGAAAAGGCUGAUUUAAUUCCACAACAGGUCUCUCUGAGUGCGUCUGCUGUCUUUCCCACCGAGGUUUGGUGUAGCUCGGUCGGUGGGGAUGGAGCAGGUGGCGCUGAGCGCAGUUCCCUGUAGGAAGCUGACCUGCAGACAGCAGGCAGGGAGGCCUCCGCCAGGUUUCCUCUGAGCCAGCUAGGGUAGAGCCUGACUUCCCGGAAUUCUUGGCUCAUCAAUCCAUUAGCAUCAUUGCUAGUUCUUUUUUCAUAAAUAAAUUCUUCGGUCCCUUUUUGGUGUGCCUAGGUACACUGUGAAUGGCCAUAUCCAUUCUGAUAUCUCAAUUUUUCAUCACAUUUUGACAUCUGUGAAAUUAAAUAAAACUUAAAAUCUGGUAUCUUGCUGUUGGCCUAGUGAGGACCCCAUGGAUGGUGUCUGUAGUAAAACAAAGUGUGUGAAGGAGGUUCAACAAGCUUGAGUCCUGCCCUGGUGAGACGCUGGGGUGCUGCCUCAGGCCAGGAGGCCCGCCCACCCCGGAGACCAGCCCCGACACUGCCUAGAGUGCCCCUCAGCCGCCUGCCUGGGUCCCCUGGGCGCUGUGGGCCGCGAGGUCGGUCGGUCAGUUCAAGCUUUGUUGGGAGUGAUCUGCCCGGUGAGGGCCCAGUGCGUGAGCACAGUGUGGAUUAGUGGCCGAGGAGCCAGAAGAGGGCGGGGUGUGGCAGACAGCCCCCCACGCCUGCAGCAGCCUGGCCCGGGCCCGCCUCCCUCCCACUCUGCCGGCUGCGUGCACGCAGUGCUGGGCGGCCACACAGGACAGAGGCACGGCCCCGCCGUGAGGAGGACGGGGGGUCACAGGUAGGUGCUCCCAGGGAGCAGGCUGGGGGACCGUGUAGGUCAGUGGCAGCACCCUGCUUCCAGAAGGUGAGGCAGAGAAAGCUAUGCAGUUGGGUAAAAUCUGAACCCUAACUUGAACCAGGAUGUCUGGAUCCAAGCAGUGUUUUGUAGGCUUGUUCUCGCACGGGUCCUCCUCACCUCCGUUCUACUGCUGUGUCUCGGAGUCUGUUCUCCUGGAUGUGGUUUGCUGCAGAGCCCUGCAGUGGACGUUCACUGUGACUUCCAGGGUUUGUCUGUAAAGUGGGAACUUCCCUCUCCCUCGGGGAGGCUCGCUGUCUCUGUAACGGGAAUCGCCUCAGCUCCUGCCUCCAGGGUUGACGCAGAGGCAGUUUUAAACAGUGUGUACGUCAAAGGUAAAUAAUGCUGCCUGUUCUUCUGCGUUUCUUUUUCUAAACUUGCUAAUAGAUAAUAAGGAUGGAAAAUACUGGCUUUGAUUAGAAUGACGUUUAAUUACCCAAUCCAGAGGUGACUUCUCAAGUAAGAAUGACGUUCUAGAAGACAAGUUGUGUACGGAAUAGUCCAAAAUUAGGUUAUUGGUUUCUCUAGAAAGUGAAGGAGCCCUGUGAUACGCUGCAUUUUGGAAUGGCAUCUGCUUGGCCAUGGUUGCAGCAUCUGAUGCAUCGUGCUGACGUUUCUGUCCUUUUGCUUGGUGUAGUGGCUCGCUGUUUGAAGCAGUGUAUGCAGCGCUGGCUUCUGUGUCCGGCCAGCACCUGCUGAAGUGUCCCUGCGGUCGGGAGGGCUCCAGGGCCUGGGCUCACUCAGUGACCUUGGCGUCAGUCGGGGGGUCUCUUCCAGCCUUCCUCUUCCUCUGUAAGCUGAGGCGCUGGCGUGAGCCUCCUAGGAUGACGCUGGAGACUAGGAGAAGCGCUGCAGGCUCCCAGCUCCGCGCCUGGCUCAGAGCAGCGAGCACUCAGCCUAGGUCUCUCCCACCCUCCUGACACCUGUCUGCCAGGAGUGCCUGUCACAGCCGCGGGCUCCACAGUGCGGGUGGCCUGGACGUCACGCCUGCUCCUGGAGCCGCAGGUCACUUGCAGUGACCCCUGUGGACACGCCUUCGUGUGCUUGGUCAGACUCGGUGCCCAGGCCUGGAACUGGAUGCGGGCUGUGCACCCCGACUCCCUGGCCGCCUGCAUGACUGGGUGCUCCCCGCCAUCGAUUACAGUGCCUGUAAUCGCUUCCUUCACACCUAAGCUCUUAAACCUCCUGCCUGCGAGCCCUGCCUUAACCAUGUGCUUCCAGAAAUCGUGGGCAGAAGCCAGCCAACAUGGAGGAGAUGACGGAGGUCGUCAAGGCGGAGCCCGCCCCCUCCAGUGUUGCGUGCUCGUCCACAGCGGAGCCCGCCCCCUUCCAGGGUAGCAUGCUCCUUUACAGCACCAGCAAGGGGCCCGUCCGCCCCGCGCUGCCGGCACGCCGAGGAAGUGGAAACACUGUGUUUUCCGGUUUGGGAAGACCCCAGCAGUAGGUCCUUCUCAGAAAGUAGCUCCUCCGUGUCCGACGUGAACUUCAGCCACGCGAUUGGUACUGGAUGGGCCGGGACUACCUGUCGGUGGAGGUGUGGGACCUGAACACGCAGCGCCGGCCCGUUGAGACCCACCAGGCGAGGCCAUGGGCGCCACCGCCCCGACCUUCCUGUGCUUCCAUGAGGUCCACGAGUACCUUCGAAGCAAGCUGUGUUCCCUCUACAACGAUGACUGCAUCUUUGACAACUCCAAGUGCUACUGGAAUGGCUCCGACAGACCCGCUGAGGCCAUGCAGGGUGCCCGGCCCCCACGGAGGAUUUGCCCUUCCCAGGGCACCAGGGCCCAGGAUUUCCCCGGGCUGAAACCCAUGAAACCGGAGCUCACCGGCACAGACGGCCAGGCACGCGUAGGAAAGGCAGUGUACACAGGCCACCGGAAACAAUAGAACGUGGAGCCCUGAGAAUCCAGCUACGGGAGUCACGUGCAGCAGAGUGUACCCGGGGUGCAGGAAGGGGCCAGGCCGCGCUCAUGGACAUGCACAUGGCCCCCACACUGGGAGGGGACCCCGGCCGCGGCUCAGGACGGGAGCUGCGUCCUGAAAACCCACUGUGGAUUCAGCGCACUCUAUGCAGCUGAAGAGAUCUUGAAUUCACUGAAGAUGGGAAACAUUCUAAGGAGAAAGUCAAAGUUUUCACCUUUUUCAAAAACAUUAAUAUAAUUAAAAGUGUAAAUUCAUUACUUUUUCCUUUUUGAUUCUGUUGUAUUUGUUUUUACUGAUACAACUGUGUAUGAGGCCCAGUCAGACAUUUUCACCGCGGCUGUCCCCUGGCCGUUAGGAUCUUUCGUGUCUGAUGUCUGAAGGUGACCUGUGCAGCGGUGGGGUAGGCGGUGAGCCGCUUCAUCUGGGCAGCGGGGUGGGGGUUCCUCGUGGCUUACAGGUCAUCGUCUUUCACGCGGCGCUGUCCUGAUGAGCCCUACAACAGCUUCUUCCGGAUGUUCGAUGGGUCCACCCAGAGGGACGAGACGCUGGAGGCCUCCAGGGAGAACAGCAGGCCCCAGGCCAGCCUGCAGCCUCGCAGGGUGUGUGCGGGCAGGUAGCGGAAGGGCGAGGUGAGCGUGGGCAGCCUGGACCAGCAGGAAGACCCUGCACAUGCGGGCACGCGGCCGGGAGUAUCAUCGCCGCGGCCGCCCCCAGCUGCCUGUACAUCUUCCAGAUGAGGUCAGCUGCGGCAGCAGAGGCCCCGCGUCUACGGAAUCGCGCCCGCUCGCUGGCGGAGCACAGGUGGCCGCCUCUCCUCAGAGAAGCCGGGAUGCCCUCCUGCCUCAGCGUAGGCUGCCUGGGGUUCCGAGCGGGGACCCAGGCUUCUGCUCCGGGGAGGGGAGCCCUGGGUGUCGCUGCUCAGGUCUGAGCCUGCCUUCCAGACUAGAGACCAGACAUCCACACCCCAGAGAAGAGGCGUCAGGUGCAACCUCUCCUGCCAGCCCUCCUCCUCCUCUGCCGUCAGCCGGCCUCCACCCGCCCGCCGGCCUCGGCGGCUCUGCGUCCGGGUCUCUCAGGCAGCUUCACUCCACCGCCCCUGUAUCCACUGUCACCCCUUCUGGGGCAACCGCUUAGUAAAAGCAACGCACUGUAAAGAAUGUUUUUAAGUCCAAAAUAGGCAUCGUCUUUUUAUUUGCUUUCAUUGCACGUAACGAAAUUAUGCAGAAUUAAGACUUUAAAACUCUUAUAUCCUUCACUGACAGAAUGGUGGAACGUGUGUAGUGCUUGAGGCUCUGAGCGUAUGUAUCCCCAAAGUUCUGUAACCUUUGUUUCUGUAGAACUGGUACCCCUGACCCACCAGGUGAGGACUGGACAAAGCCUUAACAGAGAGAAAAUCACAGGGAGGAGUAACAGGACCGCUGCUGAGAAGCCAGCUCGGGGUUUAGAGCACAUGGCAGAUGCUCUGCGGUUGAAGACUUUUGCGCUUUUUCUAAAAUUUGUUUAAAAGUACUAGGUGUGGGGUGGGGGGAUAACAUACUUUUUUAAAAUGUUAAAAUUAUACCCUAGAUUUCACACUUAAAGGCAGCGAAAAUUAAAGUAUUUUAAUUUCUAUCCCUUGAUGGUUUGUUUUAACAGUAGGAUCUUUGGUAUCAGAAAUCAAGAUUUCCCCCCACCCCCAAAAAAAACAGGUAACAGUAAGUCACUGGAGCUUGCUCUGUGGAAUUCCACACUGGAGCCAGGGCCCUAGUCUUCUAGGGGGGCGAGCAGCUGGGCCCAUGUGCUGCUUGUGGAGUCACUGUGGUGGAGGAGGCCCCAUCAGCGCACAUUUCAGUUGCAAAUUGAGAACCAAACGUAUUAGGUGGGUGCAAACAUAUUUGCAGUUUUUGCAUUGUUGAAAUUUACCGUUUGAUACUGGAAUACAUCCUUAAUGUGGUUAUGUUAUAUAUCAUUUAUUGCUUUAUGUUUUUUUGCUAAUGACUGACCUGCUGUGUAUUUUAUAUUUAUUUGAGACUAGGGAAAUGAUGUUAGACAAAAAGCAAAUUCAAGCGAUUUUCUUAUUCAGGUUCAAAGUGGGUCAGAAAGCAGCGGUGACAACUCGCAACAUCUACAGCGCAUUUGGCCCAGGAACGGCUGACGAACAUACAGCGCAGUGGGGGUUCAAGAAGAUUUGCACAGGAGACGAGAGCCGUGGAGAUGAGGGUGUAGUGGCCGGCCAUCAGAAGUUGACAGCGAGCAAUUGAGGACCGUCAUCCAGGCUGAUCCUCUAAAACCACACGAGCAGUUGCCAUGGAAUUCAGUGUCGACUAUUCUACGGUCAUUCAGCAUCUGAAGCAAAUUGAAAAGGUAAAAAGCUCACUAAGUGGGUGCCUUGUGAGGUGACUGAAAAUUUAAAAAAUGGUCGUUUUUAAGUUGUCUUUCUUACUGUAUGCAAAACUUAUGAACCACUUCUCGGUUGGAUUGUGACGUGCGAUGAAAAGCACAUUUUAUUCAACUGGCAAUGACCAGCUCAGUGGCUGGACUGAGAAAAAGCUCCAAAGCACUUUCUAGUCACACUUGCACCAAAAAAAGCUCAGGUCACUGUUUGGUGGUCUGCUGCCCCUCUGAUCCACGACAGCUUUCAGAAUCCCAGGGAAACCAUUACUUCUGAGAAGUAGGCUCAGCAGAUCAGUGAACACCAAAAACUGCAGCGCCAGUCAGCACCAGUCAACAGAAAGGGCGCAGUUCUCCACAACGCCCGACCGCAUGUUGCACAACCAAUGCUUCAAAAGUUGAACGAGUUGGGCUAUAAAGUUUUACCUCAUCCACCACAUUCACCUGACCUCUCACCAACAGACCACCUCUUCAAGCAGCUCAACAACUUUUUGCAGGGAAAACAUUUCCACAACCAGCAGGAGGCAGAAGAUACUUUCCAAGAGUUCAUCAAAUCCCAAAGCACAGGUUUUUAUGCUCUAGAGAUUAAUUAUAAUGAUUUAUUGCUCCUUGGAAGAAAAACUAUGACCAGCCUAGGUCGCAUAUUCAAAAGCAGAGAUGUUACUUUGCCAACAAAAGUCUGUCUAGUCAAAGCUAUGGUUUUUCCAGUAGUCAUGUAUGGAUGUGAGUUGGACUAUAAAGAAAGCUGAGCACUGAAGAAUUGAUGCUUUUGAACUGUGGUGUUGGAGAAGACUCUUGAGAGUCCCCUGGACUGCAAGGAGAUCCAACCAGUCCAUCCUAAAGGAGAUCAGUCAUGGGUGUUCAUUGGAAGGACUGAUGCUGAAGCUGAAACUCCAAUACUUUGGCCACCUGAUGCGAAGAGCUGACUCAUUUGAAAGACCCUCAUGCUGGGAAAGAUUGAAGGGUGAGGAGAAGGGGACGACAGAGGAUGAGAUGGUUGGAUGGCAUCACCGACUCAAUGGACAUGAGUUUGAGCAAGCUACAGGAGUUGGUGAUGGACAGGGAGGCUUGGCGUGCUGCGGUUCAUGGGGUCGCAGAGAGUCACACACAACUGAGGGACUGAACUGACUGAUGACGAUUUAAAAUUCACGGUCUGAAAUCAGUUAUUUUUGCACCAACCUAAUACACUUACUUUAAAGGUAAUUCUUGUACUCUGUGUUGGUUGUGAUGCAGUUCACAAAUCUGAGAUAUUGAACAGUUGUCUAAGUAUCAAGUCAGCCCUGGUCCUUAAGCAGUUCUGGAAAGAUGGGGUUGUACAUAUUUGUUUAGCUGUUGUAAUAAAUUUCAAAUGUUUAAC